AUAACAAUAAAAAAACAGGCCGUUUCAAUCCUAACAUGCACAUGUACUCACCCACAAUCUGUUCCAAAACUGUAUAUUGAACUGCCAUAAUACAGUCAAAUUAGAGUUUGACUGAUAGUGGAUUUUACAGAUACCAAUAGCUAAUUUGGAUCAUAUAUUGGAUGAUAACCAAUUAAUCAUCCAAACAUUUUUAAAAUGAAUACUGGAAUAAAAAAACAACACUCCAUGUAAAGAAGUACUAUAAAAAAAAAGUACUGAAUCAUGAAAAAUAUUGAGGGUAAUAAAACAUGCUAAACUGAAACAAAAACUAGUUCUAGUUUAAUUUUAUUAUUCAUAGUUUAGAAGCCUUAAAUAACAAUGGAGAAAGCAGAGAUGGUGUGCACGGUGUCCGAUGAGUCGGCUCCUCUUGGCAUCACAAAACAUGCUCACAAACAGCACAUGAUGUCAGUGAUUCGCCUCCAGAGGCCGCCCUCGUACUGUAUAAUUACAGCGGAAAAACUCUCUAUAUGGAUUUUUGCAUAUAGCCAAUAGUUCCAGCAAUUAAAUA